GACGAACGCUGGCGGCGUGCCUAAUACAUGCAAGUAGGACGCAGUGGCGAACGGGUGAGUAACGCGUAGGUAACUACCUAUUAGAGGGGGAUAACUAUUGGAAACGAUAGCUAAUACCGCAUACUAGUAGAUGUACCUGCGUUGUAUUAGCUAGUAGGUAGGGUAAUGGCCUACCUAGGCAACGAUACAUAGCCGACCUGAGCGGGUGGUCGGCGACACUGGGAAUGAGACACGGCCCAGACUCCGUAGGGAGGUAGCAGUAGGGAAUCUGCGGCAAUGGGGAGAACCCUGACCGAGCAACGCCGCGGGAGUGACGAAGGUUUUCGGAUCGUAAAGCUCUGUUGUUAAGGAAGCGGUACUUAACCAGAAAGGGACGGCUAACUACGUGCCAGCAGCCGCGGUAAUUC
rnacentral:rRNA from 1 species